rnacentral:misc_RNA from 1 species
GGAAGGAUCAUUACAAAUCAAUGAGUGGAUGUGGGGGGUGCUUAAACACACUCUCCUCUGACACACAUAUUUACGCUUGUUGUGUUUGACAGAGUAAUGCUAUAUAUACAAAAUAGACAACUUUUAACAACGGAUCUCUGGGCUCUUGCAACGAUGAAGAACGCAGCCAAGUGCGAUAUUUAAUGCGAUUUGCAUGAAUCUGUGAGUCAUCGAGUCUUUGAACGCAACUUGCGCCACUUGUGGCAUGUCUGUUUGAGUACCGUAUAACAACUGCAGCAAUGCGAAUUGACUAUCAUUAUUGAUGGUUUAAAUGAGUGUUAUACACAGCGGGGCAGUCUGUGAAGCUAGAGACGCAAGUCUUGUUCACUUUCUACCCCCUCUUAUUCACUGGUCUCAAAUCAGGCAAGAUUACCCGCUGAACUUAAGCAUAUCAGUAAGCGGAGGAAAAGAAACUAACAAGGAUUCCCCUAGUAAUGGCGAAUGAAGCGGGAAUAGCUCAAAGUUUAAAUCUCAGUGUUCUGCACUGCGAAUUGUAGUCUAAAGAAGGUGAUCUAGGUAGUGGGAGGUGAUCAAGUCCCUUGGGAUAGGGCGCCAGAGAGGGUGAGAGCCCCGUCAAUCACUGCACACUACCAAAGUGAGAGCCUUUCAACGAGUCGAGUUGUUUGGGAAUGCAGCUCAAAGUGGGUGGUAAAUCUCAUCUAAGGCUAAAUACUGGCAAGAGACCGAUAGCGAACAAGUACCGUGAGGGAAAGAUGAAAAGCACCUUGAAAAGGGAGUUAAACAGUGCGUGAAAUUGUUAAAAGGGAAGCGAUUGAGAUCAGUGUUGGUCAGUCGUUCAAGCCGGUGCUUAGGUGCCGGCAGCGACGGCAGGCCGAGUCAAUGCCAGUUGUGGGCGCUGGAGACGCGCUGCGGGAAGGUGGGGUCAGUCUUCGGGCUGGCUCUUUAUAGACUGCAGUGGCCGCAGCGGCUGCGACUGGAAGCGAGGCAACGCGGGCAGUGAUCAGCGGGAAGGGUGAGGUAGACAAUUUAUUGACUGCCACCCCGACUUGAUGUAAUCUGCUCACCGAGUUGAGCGCCUUUGACAAAAUGGUCUUAAACGACCCGUCUUGAAACACGGACCAAGGAGUCUAACAAUGUUGCGAGCACUAUGGUGGUAAACCAGAGAUGCGCAAUGAAAGUGAAAGCCUGCGAGCUCCGGCGCAGCAGGGACCGGCUUGGCAGUAUUCUGCCAGGACGAGUAAGAGCAUUAUUGUUGGGACCCGAAAGGCGGUGAACUAUGCCUGACUAGGGCGAAGCCAGAGGAAACUCUGGUGGAGGCUCGUAGCCGUUCUGACGUGCAAAUCGAUGGUAAAAGUUGGGUAUAGGGGCGAAAGACUAAUCGAACCGCCUAGUAGCUGGUUCCCUC